GCGGCGUGCCUAACACAUGCAAGUCGAACGGGAAUCUUCGGAUUCUAGUGGCGGACGGGUGAGUAACGCGUAAGAAUCUAACUUCAGGACGGGGACAACAGUUGGAAACGACUGCUAAUACCCGAUGUGCCGAAAGGUGAAACCUAAUUGGCCUGAAGAAGAGCUUGCGUCUGAUUAGCUAGUUGGUGGGGUAAGAGCCUACCAAGGCGACGAUCAGUAGCUGGUCUGAGAGGAUGAGCAGCCACACUGGGACUGAGACACGGCCCAGACUCCUACGGGAGGCAGCAGUGGGGAAUUUUCCGCAAUGGGCGAAAGCCUGACGGAGCAACGCCGCGUGAGGGAGGAAGGUCUUUGGAUUGUAAACCUCUUUUCUCAAGGAAGAAGUUCUGACGGUACUUGAGGAAUCAGCCUCGGCUAACUCCGUGCCAGCAGCCGCGGUAAUACGGGGGAGGCAAGCGUUAUCCGGAAUUAUUGGGCGUAAAGCGUCCGCAGGUGGUCAGCCAAGUCUGCCGUCAAAUCAGGUUGCUUAACGACCCAAAGGCGGUGGAAACUGGCAGACUAGAGAGCAGUAGGGGUAGCAGGAAUUCCCAGUGUAGCGGUGAAAUGCGUAGAGAUUGGGAAGAACAUCGGUGGCGAAAGCGUGCUACUGGGCUGUAUCUGACACUCAGGGACGAAAGCUAGGGGAGCGAAAGGGAUUAGAUACCCCUGUAGUCCUAGCCGUAAACGAUGGAUACUAGGCGUGGCUUGUAUCGACCCGAGCCGUGCCGAAGCUAACGCGUUAAGUAUCCC
rnacentral:rRNA from 1 species